rnacentral:rRNA from 1 species
ACGCGAAAGGGGGCAACCCCCGGUAGCGUGGCAGACGGGUGAGUAACACGUGGGUAACCUGCCCGGAGGUGGGGAAUAACCCUUCGAAAGGAGGGCUAAUACCGCAUGACAUCUCGGGUCCUUGGAUCUCGAGAUCAAAGCUGGCCUCUGCUUGCAAGCUAGCGCCACCGGAGGGGCCCGCGCCCCAUUAGCUAGUUGGUGAGGUAACGGCUCACCAAGGCGACGAUGGGUAGCCGGCCUGAGAGGGCGACCGGCCACACUGGAACUGAGACACGGUCCAGACUCCUACGGGAGGCAGCAGUGAGGAAUCUUGCGCAAUGGGCGAAAGCCUGACGCAGCGACGCCGCGUGGAGGAUGAAGGUCUUCGGAUUGUAAACUCCUGUCUAGUGGGACGAAUGCCGCGAGAUCGAAUACAUCUCGCGGUUGACGGUACCGCUGGAGGAAGCCCCGGCUAACUCCGUGCCAGCAGCCGCGGUAAUACGGAGGGGGCCAGCGUUGUUCGGAAUCAUUGGGCGUAAAGGGCGCGUAGGCGGCCGAUCAAGUCGGACGUGAAAUCCCCCGGCUCAACCGGGGAACUGCGUCUGAUACUGUUCGGCUUGAGUCCCGGAGAGGGUAGUGGAAUUCCCAGUGUAGCGGUGAAAUGCGUAGAUACUGGGAGGAACACCGGUGGCGAAGGCGGCUACCUGGACGGGUACUGACGCUGAGGCGCGAAAGCCAGGGGAGCAAACAGGAUUAGAUACCCUGGUAGUCCACGCCGUAAACGAUGUCAACUAGCCGUUGGGGGCACUUUGGCUCCUAGUG